CUCAAACACUCUCUCAAACAAGGCUCUCACAGCUGUGUGUAAAUCCAGCUGUCAUUAUGAAACAUGUCCCUAGGGGCGCUGGAAGAGUGGGGAAAGA